UACGUAGGGUGCAAGCGUUGUCCGGAGUUAUUGGGCGUAAAGAGCUCGUAGGCGGUCUGUCGCGUCUGCUGUGAAAACUCAGGGCUUAACCCUGAGCUUGCAGUGGAUACGGGCAGACUUGAGGCAUUCAGGGGAGAACGGAAUUCCUGGUGUAGCGGUGAAAUGCGCAGAUAUCAGGAGGAACACCGGUGGCGAAGGCGGUUCUCUGGGAAUGUCCUGACGCUGAGGAGCGAAAGUGUGGGGAGGCGAACAGG
rnacentral:rRNA from 1 species